CAUAGAUAGCAGCACUAUGAACGGUGUACUCGUCUUUCAACUAGUGUCUGCACGUUUCCGAUCUUUUUCAGCUAUAAUGUCGUUGGAUAUUUCAAAUCUUUCGUCGCGAAAGCUUUUUGUGAUAGAUUUAUGCAUAUUUUUUUAAAUGUGUAAUUAGUAAUAAAAUAACGCGAAUUCAAUGUUCACACAUCGCAGCCUUAAUUGAACACGAUCAAAGACGAUAUGGAAGUUCAGGCUAAUAAAACUGUGGUUGAAAAUAAUGGUAGCUUCAAAAAUGCAUUAGAGAUGGAUCUGUCAAUAGGAAAGCAAAAUUUAAAACAUCCUUUGGAUAAAAACGAACAAAUUCAUUGUCUUAAUGAAUGGCUAAAUUUACUGAAGAGUAAAUCGAAAUUGCUUCAAAUUCUGGGUAAAAUAGGUGAAAAGGAGUUUAAUACUGAAGACAGCGAUGAGCAAAUCAUUACUACACUGAAAAAUCUUGCAGAAAAUAUCAGGACAAAUAAGUUGGAAGCAAAAAAAUUGAAGCUCGCAGCUUUAUCGUCUGUUGUUACUGCAUUAACCGCAAACAAGCAAACUAAACAUGAGAAUUUGUAUGAUCUUCUUCAGAAGAAACACGAGCUAGGAUUGGAAGUUGAACAACUGUCAAAAGAGCAUUCUCAGUUAUUAGUAAAAUUAAUAGAAACAAAAAAAGAAAUUGUAAAAGAAACUGAUAGUUUUAAGAAAGAAAUUAGUAAUGAUGGACAAAAGCUGGCAGAAAUGAACAAAAAUCAACCAAGCACAAUUAUCAAGUUGAAGCAUAAAACACAAGAAUACAUACGUAAAGCAAAUGAAGCUCGUAAAUUAAUUUCUACAAUUAUUGUUGCUGGUGAUGUGAACUUAAUUGAAAAACCGGAAUUACUGGAACUGUUGGUCAAGCAACGCCUUGUUAUAACAGUGGAUAACUUAAAAAAUUGGUAGCCAUAACUAUUUUGGAAGGAGAGGAAGGCAUGUGAUCUGUGAACAAUCCAAGGGACUAAAUUCUGUACAGUAGAACCUCUAUUUUACUUUUUUUAGGAAAUAAGGGGAAAAAAUUGCAUGAAUAAUGAUAAACUGUAAAUUGAACUAUCUUUGCAUUCUUAUACUCUUAUACAAAAACCAGAUUUUUUAACAAAUUUAAGUAUUAAAUAUAAUAAAAUUAUUUAAAAAAA